rnacentral:lncRNA from 1 species
GGUUUUCAGUGGCUGGUGCUCUGGCUGCUGGCAGAGCUAGUGACAGAGCAGCCCUUGUGUGCUGGCAAAGUGAGAGCGCACAGAGGCGCUUGGCCUGCAACGGGGGGUCACUGCUCCAGCUUGUGCAGGCCAUGGCCUCCUAAAUCUGCCUCUUUGUAAGUAAAGGGAGAGCUUCCCUUGGCUAGAGGAACGGGAAAUAAAAGGCUGUGUUUUUCAGUGUGCGCACAUCCAUGCAAAAGUCAUAAAAAUCACCUGCUUCUUUAAAGACUGUGGGGUGGGGAAGGGUUAAACAGCCGACAGUAAACAUUUGGAAAUGUAGCUGAGCUUCUGGAUGGUGGUAAUCCAGUCACUCAGGCGCCCAAGCUGCUAAUGAUUUGCUUCUAUGGAUGUGUUUAGGCCUCAGGCUGUCAUCGACUCUGGAGGAGACCCUGAAGAUGAAAGGAUUUUGGUGUACAGCAGUGUCAAAGGCUGCUAUUGUAUGGGCACAAGCCUUCAACGUCUGCAGUGCUACCUGCCCGUGUCUGUGCACAUCCUACGCUAAUUACUUAUUGUUUAAGGAGUGCUUUAGGAUAUUUGGGUGAAAGUGCAACUGAAUAGAAAAUGAUUGAAUUACUUUUCAGGUUGGUGUAAUCCUGAUAGAAGCAGGAAAGGGUAACCAUGGCCCACAUCCACUUGGGAUCCUGACCUGCACAGGCACAGAUGGAGAGCUUCUGUGUUCCUCAAGGGGAGCAGGUGGGGCAGAGGGUGAUCUUGCUGCGGCCCGAACAUGUGCCUUUUGUUAGACUAUUGGAGAAGGUGGCUGCUUCACAGAGGUUUAACAUAUUAAAAAAUACAGCCGAUUCUGAUGAAAGUCAUGUUCUUCAUGCCUAACACAGGUUAUUUGGUGUUCUGUGAUGGGAUGGGAUACAGGUGUGCCAUACAGCAGCAAUCCUUUGCUUCAAGCUAAUGAAGGGCCUAAUUACUUUCUUUAGCUAUGACUGAGAAGCUGAUUAGAAGCAGCUGCUGCAACUCUGGCUGCCCUGGUUAGAUGGGGCAGGAGACAGAGGUAUGGGGCUGCCUUGGGAGCUACCAGAGGGAGAAGGCAGGGUGAAGUGCAAGGCAGAGGGGCAAGGUUCCUGCUGCUCACAAGGUAUUUGCAUAUAAAGCAUAGAAAGAAGGUCUGGGGUUUUCUCCCCUGCUAACUGGGGGGUGUGGAGGGGAGGAAAGCUAAAGGUGCAAAGGGCGAGUGAAGUCUAUAGGGGGGGGAUAACCUAUCGUUCUUUGGUAUGUGAAAUUAAUCCUUGUUGGACUGGGAAGGGUGAGCCCUUAAGCUAUGUGGAAGGAAAAAUCUGCAUUUUGUGCCCAAAAUAUGGUAUGAAGAAAUUGUCUGUUUGACACUCUUUUUUGAGAGUCUUUUUUGCAAUUUAAAACUCAUUUGCUGUGGAAACUCUAUAAGCUUUUCUGUAAUCUCUAAUAUGUUUGAUUAGAAAAAUCAUGUAUGUGUAAUGAUGUGAGAAGCUGGCCACGUGUCUGGUUACUCUGGAAAGUAAUUUCCUUCAGCUCUAGUUUACAAACCUACAUCAGCAGAGAAGAAUUUGCAGA